GAUGAACGCUAGCGAUAGGCCUAACACAUGCAAGUCGAGGGGCAUCACAUGAGGCAGCAAUGCCGAUGGUGGCGACCGGCGCACGGGUGAGUAACACGUAUGCAACCUGCCUUCAACAAGGGGAUAACCCGUUGAAAAACGGACUAAUACCCUAUAAUACAGGGGUCCCGCAUGGGGAUAUUUGUUAAAGAUUGAUCGGUUGAAGAUGGGCAUGCGUUCCAUUAGCUGGUUGGUGAGGUAACGGCCCACCAAGGCAACGAUGGAUAGGGGAACUGAGAGGUUUAUCCCCCACACUGGUACUGAGACACGGACCAGACUCCUACGGGAGGCAGCAGUGAGGAAUAUUGGUCAAUGGGCGAGAGCCUGAACCAGCCAAGUCGCGUGCAGGAAGAAUGUCCUAUGGAUUGUAAACUGCUUUUGCAGAGGAAUAAAGUGAGCCACGUGUGGUUUUUGUAUGUACUCUGCGAAUAAGGAUCGGCUAACUCCGUG
rnacentral:rRNA from 1 species